ensembl:misc_RNA Metazoa_SRP Metazoan signal recognition particle RNA
GCUGGGCAUGGUGGUGCAUGCCUGUAAUCCCAGCUACCUGGGAGGCUGAGGCAGGAGGAUUGCUUGAGCACAGGAGUGUGAGGCUGCAGUGAGAGAUGACUGUGCCACUGUACUCCAGCCUGGGUGACGGAGCAAGAUCCUGUCUCUA